AACGAACGCUGGCGGCAGGCCUAACACAUGCAAGUCGAACGCUCCGCAAGGGGAGUGGCGCACGGGUGAGUAACACGUGGGAACCUACCUUCUGGUACGGAACAACCAAGGGAAACUUUGGCUAAGACCGUAUACGACCUCCGGGUGAAAGAUUGAUCGCCGGAAGAGGGGCCCGCGUCCGAUUAGGUAGUUGGUGAGGUAACGGCUCACCAAGCCUUCGAUCGGUAGCUGGUCUGAGAGGAUGACCAGCCACACUGGACUGAGACACGGCCCAGACUCCUACGGGAGGCAGCAGUGGGGAAUAUUGGACAAUGGGCGCAAGCCUGAUCCAGCCAUGCCGCGUGAGUGAUGAAGGCCUUCGGUU
rnacentral:rRNA from 1 species